UGGGAGCAUCGGCGCCAGGCUCGGCCCGAGAAGGAUGUGUUUCCCCCGGCCUUAUCUCACCCUCCAGACCCACGGACCGCGCGCUCUCCCCGCCCUUUCCCUCCCGGUACUCGCGCCUGUACAGUUGCCUGGCGAUGCACAGCAGGGAAAUUGAGGCCAGAAGGAGAGACUUUCAGUACAUGGACCCAAGUAUACUGCUAUCCUCAGCUUCAGUGGAAGAAUUUAAAAGAGACGAGGGAAAUGAUAUUAGACAAAAACCAAACUCAAGCGAUUUUCUUGUUUGAGUUCAAAAUGGGUUGUAAAGCAGCAGAGAAAUCUCUCAGCAUCAGCAACGCAUUUGGCCCAGGAACUGCUAACAAACGUACAGCGCAGUGGUGGUUCAAGAAAUUUUACAAAGGAAAUGAGAGUCUUGAAGAUGAGCAGCUCAGUGGCGGGCCAUUAGAAGUUGACAGUGACCAAAUGAGAGGAUCACUGAAGCUGAUCCUCGUACAACUACACAAGAAGUCGCCAAGGAACUUAACCCUGACCAUUCUACAGUCAUUUGGCAUUUGAAGUAAAUUGGAAAGCUAAGAAAGCUCAUUAAGUGGGUGCCUCAUGAGCUGACCAAAAAUCAGAAAAAUCGUCAUUUUGAAGUGUCAUCUUCUCUUACUCUACACAACAACAGCAAACCAUUUCUCCUUCCAAUUGUGACAUGUGACAAAAGCGGAUUUUAUACAACAGCUGGUGACGACCAGCUCAGUGGUUGGACUGAGAAAAAGUUCCAGAGCCAAACUUGCACCAAAAAGUAGUCAUGGUCACUGUUUAGUGGUCUACUAUCAGUCUCAUCCACUACAGCUUUCUCAGUCCCAGUGAAACCAUUACAUCUGAAGUAUGCUUAGCAAAUUCAUGAGAUGUAUCAAAAACUGAAAUGCCUGCAGCUGGCAUUGGUCAACAGA